AUUGAACGCUGGCGGCAUGCCUUACACAUGCAAGUCGAACGGCAGCACGGGGGCAACCCUGGUGGCGAGUGGCGAACGGGUGAGUAACAUAUCGGAACAUACCCUAGAGUGGGGGAUAACGUAGCGAAAGUUACGCUAAUACCGCAUACGAUCUAAGGAUGAAAGUGGGGGAUCUUCGGACCUCAUGCUCAUGGAGUGGCCGAUAUCUGAUUAGCUAGUUGGUGAGGUAAAGGCUCACCAAGGCGACGAUCAGUAGCUGGUUUGAGAGAACGACCAGCCACACUGGAACUGAGACACGGUCCAGACUCCUACGGAGGCAGCAGUGGGAAUUUUGGACAAUGGGGGCAACCCUGAUCCAGCAAUGCCGCGUGAGUGAAGAAGGCC
rnacentral:rRNA from 1 species